rnacentral:rRNA from 1 species
CCUACGGGUGGCAGCAGUGGGGAAUAUUGGACAAUGGGCGAAAGCCUGAUCCAGCCAUGCCGCGUGUGUGAAGAAGGCCUUCGGGUUGUAAAGCACUUUCAGUGGGGAAGAAAGCCUUGGGGCUAAUACCCUCGAGGAAGGACAUCACCCACAGAAGAAGCACCGGCUAACUCCGUGCCAGCAGCCGCGGUAAUACGGAGGGUGCGAGCGUUAAUCGGAAUUACUGGGCGUAAAGCGCGCGUAGGCGGUCUGAUAAGCCGGUUGUGAAAGCCCCGGGCUCAACCUGGGAACGGCAUCCGGAACUGUCAGGCUAGAGUGCAGGAGAGGAAGGUAGAAUUCCCGGUGUAGCGGUGAAAUGCGUAGAGAUCGGGAGGAAUACCAGUGGCGAAGGCGGCCUUCUGGAAUGACACUGACGCUGAGGUGCGAAAGCGUGGGUAGCAAACAGGAUUAGAUACCCGGGUAGUC